AUGGAGUAUCACCGUGUCGUUAGUUUGGUCGCGGUCGUGGUGGUGCUGCUGCGUCGGUGGCCGGCUUUGAGCUCUGCGCAGGCGCCGGUGUCGAGGACCAUCACGGUGGACAGUCAUGGAGGAGGGGAUUUCUCGAGCGUGCAGUCGGCGGUGAACUUCGUGCCCGACGGCAACCGGGAGUGGGUGAGGAUCCACGUCCGGGCAGGGAGCUACACGGAGAAGGUGGCCAUCCCGGAGGAGAAAGGCUACAUCUUGCUGGAAGGGGACGGCUCCUCGAACACGGACAUCAACUUCAACGACUACGCCGGCGCCCACGUCCGCAGCCGCGGCGACACGUCGCCGACGUACCAGAGCGCCAUCUUCACCAACACGCACAACGCUCACGACAAGAUCAACAAGAGCCAAGCGGUGGCGGCGCUGGUCCGCGGCGACCGGAACGCCUUCUAUGGCUGCGCCUUCCAUAGCUUCCAAGACACGCUCUGCGACGACCUGGGCCGCCACUACUUCAGCGACUGCUCCAUCGAGGGAGGGAUUGACUUCAUCUUCGGCUACGGCCAGUCCAUCUACGACGGCUGCACCAUCGUAUCCAACAUGCCGCCGUCUUACGGCCAGAAUCCCGGGUCGGUGACCGCGCACGGCAGGAUCGACGCCAGUGACCCCGGCGGCUUUGUGUUCAAGGGCGGCGAGGUUAGAGGCACCGGGCGCCAGUAUCUCGGACGCGCGUGGAACGAGUACGCCACGGUCGUCUACUAUCAUGUGAAUAUGUCCAGGAUCAUCGUCCCGCAGGGGUGGGAGGCAUGGAAAGCAGAUGGCGAGACUAACAAAGUCGUAUUCGCAGAGGUUGGGUGCACCGGGCCAGGAUCGAACAUGACCGGAAGAGUGCCGUGGGAGAAGCAACUGAGCGAGGUGGAGGUGGAGAAGUUCGUGGACAUGAGCUACAUCGACGACGGUUGGAUAGGCGAGCAGCCAUACUAG
rnacentral:rRNA from 1 species